AUGAGGAAACUGAGGCAUAGAGAGGAUAAAACUUGUCCAAGGUCAGCCCCAAGUAGCACAUGUGACCUUCUUGGGAAAUGUUCCUUAAAGCAAGAUGAUGACAUGUGCAGCACGAUCCUCCAACAUCAAGUACAGACCAGCCCGUCCAGGACAGCCAAUAGUUAUUACUGGUAUAAUGUAUCCCUUCACUAACUUCUCAACUUUUCUCCCCUUUGCUGUAUGCCUGUUGUAAAGACAAAGUAUCAAUUGCAAUUAAUCUUUUUCCCCUUUAGAAUUAGAACAGAGAGUUUUUAGCUAUACUUCUGUCUUAUCUCAUCCUGCUUCUCACUGUAUUACCUGCAUGGUCCCAUAGGACCUUUCCCCUAGAAGGACUUUUCAGAGACCUGUUAUCAUAGUUUGGUGACAGGCAGUACAGGCUUUACAUCAGAGGAACCUAUAUUCUAAUUUGGACUGAUCCUUCUGAGACAGAUGAGUUUUUCUGAGUCUCAGUUUCUCUUCAACAAAAUGCAGACAAUAAUGCCUACUGUACAAGGUCACGGUGAAGAUGAAAGGAAAUAAUGUACGAACUGCAUUGAGCACAGGACCCGGUACAAACAGGCAGUCAAAAAGAGGAGCGAGUAUUGUUAUUAACAUUUCUCUCCUUUUGCCAGUUAUUUUCCUGAUGACCUGAAUUUUUGGUGUGAGUCAACAGUACUGGGUGGUAGGAAGUAGGAAUGAAUGCUCCUAUUUGGUGUGUUGUUGAAUACGCUAAAAAUUUUCCAGGACUAGGCAACAAUUGGGUUAUGGUUAUCAUCAAUCAAAAUUCAGACCUCUGAUUUAAAAUAUAUAUAUAUAUAUUAUAUAUAUAUACAUAUAUAUAAUAUAUAUAUAUACACAUACGUAUACAUUACUUAUCAGAUAUCAUUUUGUCAUUGGACUAGGUAACACAGAAUCUAUCCCACAUUAUCAGAAUAAGGAAAGCAUGUUGAGUCUGACAAAAAAUAAAUGCUACUAUUGCACUGGGGACUUGGGAACCCCAAGACCAGCCAGUAACUUCAGUCACUGUAGAGUAUGUAAGACAGAUGUGAAGAUCCAACAAUAUAAUUUCCCUCUGUGCUAAGGCUGCCGAACCGUAGAAGACAGUUUUAACUAAAGAGAAAAUCUACCAAGGUCUCCUGCAGGGAGUUGUGUUAUGUGAAUGGAGUGAGUUUUAAUUUUAGUCUGCAGAUCUGAGCUCAGUAACACAGCACCACUGUUACCAGCAGGCCCAGGCUUUGUCGUGAUGGCUCUCCUUCUUUGUAACCCUAGUGGUUUGGCAUUAGAGUCUCGAGUUUCAGUGUAUUAAAUAUUUACCAACAACCUAUUGGCCAUAUGUCAUUGGAGUGUUUGUGGUGACAGACUCACUACUCGGCACCUUUUCAAGUAGAUUCUGUAGGAUCUGCAGGGUACUGCAGGCUCGCAGAUCCUUUUUAAUAACGAGGUCUUUUGUUCUUUUUUGUCCUCUUGUUCACUAAGCUGGUGUCAAUAUCAUACGCAGGGUUUUGAGGAAGAAAACUCAUUCAAUCCUUCUCCUUCUAUAUUCUUUCUUCCUGGGGUGCAAUGAACAAUAUCAGUAUCCCCUACUCAUUCCUUAUUUACCUGAUAGUAUUUUCUUUAGUGUAUGAAUGCAGAGGUAUUUUCCUUUAGAAAUAACAUUAUUCUGAGAGUUGAAUUCUGCUUAUGUUGCUUAAUGCCAAAGAGUUCUGGAAAACUCACCUGAAAUUAUGAACUUUGGAUUUAGGCUUGGAUUUUCAAAUGGAAAGCAAUUCCCUAAAUAAAAUCUAGCUGUAUAUGACACUAAACAUGCUUGAGAAAUGUUUCUAGAUAAAAUAUAUACUUGAUUGAAAUUGACUAAACUUGUGAAGCAUCAGAUAUGCUCCGUGAAGACAGCUGUUUCAGCUCAGAUCAACUCAACAGGUAUUUCCAGAGGACCCACUUUGUGUCUCUUCCUUUGCUAGGCAUGCAAUUAAAGAUCAAUUAGAUAAUUCCUGCCCAAGGUUUAUGUGUUGUCCAUCAUUGUUUUGAAAGUAGUAGUUCUCUUCCACACCUUGAUGUAUACAAAAUGGCAACAGCUUUUAUUUGUAAAGAUACUUAAAGCAAACACACUGUUAAAAGUGCAUAAAUUCAUAGCUUUACUUUAUCAGUUACAACAGUAGAUAAACAUUUGAGCAACGCUCUUAUUGUUGGUACAUGAGGUAAUAUUGACUCCUGAUUCUUCACAGAACCAGAACAUUGUGUCACUUUUCAUGGGUUUAGGGAAAAAUGAGAAUCUUAUUCUGAAUUUAAGUUUUGUAAAGACCUUGGUGUUCCAUAUUUCUCAACUGACACUCUUUUACUUGUAUUGUAUGAGAUGAAAAUAUGUUAUUAGUACAGAGUUUCAAUGUGUUCUGAGUUUGAGCAUCAAAGCAAGAAGAGUCAUAAAAAGUUUGGUGUGGGCCAGGUUUCAAUCAUGACCUCUGAAACUACUUUCCUAACAGUUUAGAACCAGAUAAACAAAUAGAUAAGUCUGGAUAUUCAAUAUUGUUAUGAAAUUGUGUUUUAAGGUAUCAAAAUGCUGAUUAUGCAAGUUACAAUAAAUAAUGCAUUAUAUGCCAGAUAAAAUAAUUUAUUGAUCAUAGCCGGUUACAACUAUUUACUGUUUUGAUGUGUCAGUAUAGUGUAUAUAAUAGGAGGUACAACUUUUGUAUAUGGCCCUGGAAUGGGCAAAGUUAGAAUAUGUUUCAAUGUUAAUAAAAUCAUCUGUGCUUGUUGUGUUAUAUGUAACAUAAUAUGUUCUAAUCAGUUUCAGUUUACUAUGGAAUCCAUAUGUAUGUUUAAGUGCUUAAGAAAGGAGA
rnacentral:lncRNA from 1 species